CGGACUUCGACUGUAACCCCGUUCCGGGUGGUAGUUGUUAAUAUGUGUUUGCUACGUGAACCUUUUUCCCAUCCAGAGUGGUGUAUUCAACUCCUCAAUUUAUCUCUGCGUUGAUAGUGCUCUUAAGGUUUUACUAACACUAUUCUAAAACGCGUCUAGACUACAGCUGGAGCUUGAGAUUUACAGCGAUUGUUCUCACUUCCCUGGCAAGUUGUUAUAAACCCAGGACCUCUGCAAGGAUGGGGUUUGGUACGAGUUUGACUUUUGCGUUCGUGUUCUAACGGUAAAUCUUCAUGCAUGAUAAAGCUGCUCUUUAGCAACAGGACGUUGCGUAGUCAACAACACCAGCAAGAAAACUCUGCUUUCGAUGGACGAGAGAAGUGAGUGCGGUGAAAAAUGGGCUGGGCAUUUCUGGCUGUCGCCUGUCGUUGUUGUUUUUGAUUAAGCUGACCUUGUGUUAGCACGGGCUCUUGCUCACAGAGCAGCCCGUAAUACGCCUGGCGUCGGCAUUUCAGUAGUUUGACGGACACUGCGAGUGUGCACACAACUGGGAGAGUGGUGGCUGGAAAGGCCUACGCAGACAUUCUUGACAAUUCUUGAAGUGUUAAAUACCUGCGUGUAGUUUUUCACCCCACCCCCCCCAUAUGCUUCCGUACGUGAAUGUGUACAUCACAUAUUCGUAAUGGCUAUUUACUAUGCAUACCCCUUUUUGGAGACGGCAGUAAAGGACUUCAUGCACUUCAAGUGGAAAAGUACACCUGGCUAGGACCAUGCAUUCCAUCAGAGUACCUUUCGUCGCUUAUGUUUGCAACAUCCUUCAGUGGACUUCCAGGGCAGUAGUAUGUAACUACAACGUGAACCAGAGAUCCCAACAGCGAGCUUAGUAUAGUCACGCAUUUUUAUAUAUAGCUGUCCAGAAGACCUAUCGACGUAUAUGGAGUAGAGUAGUUUCAUGUCUCAUUGUAAUAAAUUUUUUUUUUUUACCUUUUAGUGUCCAUCAAUCCCCACCUAAUGAACUGCUAAAGACUAGUAAUAAAAUGUAAAUAUAAUUCAGGGGUCCUUUUUAACUAAUUAUAAUCAGUUGCCCGCCUUUGUUGG